rnacentral:rRNA from 1 species
UACGAAGGGGGCUAGCGUUGUUCGGAAUCACUGGGCGUAAAGGGUGCGUAGGCGGCGCGGUAAGUCGGGUGUGAAAUCUCGGAGCUUAACUCCGAAACUGCAUUCGAUACUGCCGUGCUUGAGGACUGGAGAGGAGACUGGAAUUUACGGUGUAGCGGUGAAAUGCGUAGAUAUCGUAAGGAAGACCAGUGGCGAAGGCGG